UACAGGGGGGGCAAGCGUUGUUCGGAAUUACUGGGCGUAAAGGGCCAGUAGGCGGCCAACUAAGUCACACGUGAAAUCCCCGGGCUUAACCCCGGGAACUGCGUGUGAUACUGGAUGGCUUGAAUUCGGGAGAGGGAUGCAGAAUUCCAGGUGUAGCGGUGAAAUGCGUAGAUAGUCUGGAAGAAUACCGGUGGCGAAGCGGC
rnacentral:rRNA from 1 species